CUACUUCGUUGUUUAUCGACACCAUGCUGAGGUCGAGAUCGGGGAAUAGGCAUGCGAAUUGUUCCCGAGCGGCUUCGAAUCCAGCAACCAGAAUCUGAGCGGAGCUUAGCUUAAGUUCUUCAAUUUGCCUUUGAAAUUCUUCAACCUGUUUCUUGAGCUCCUUGUUCUGCUGCUCCAGCUCUUCGACCUGUUUUCGGAGUUGUUCGUUGGUCUCUUGAGCAUGAAGAAGGUCAUCAGCAACCUUCUUGGAUUCCGCUUGAGCUUGGGUCAACUCGGCAGCCAUCUUUCCUUUUUCCUUGAUCGCCUCGGUGAGAUCAGCCAUGGCGUCAUCCCUUGCUUUUUCUACUUGCCCAAGUAGUUUUUCGCGGUCAAUCGACCUUUGCUCCAGUUUUUGUACCUUAUCGGCACUAGCUUGAAUGUGAGCCUCCA
rnacentral:lncRNA from 1 species